GACAGUUCUUGGGUGAAACACCCCAGAAUCGGGCUCCCUCCUCUCUGUUUCUGGGUGCAUCACACAAGAACUACC
rfam:Myotis brandtii contig238564, whole genome shotgun sequence.